rnacentral:sRNA from 1 species
UGCAUCUGAAGCCUGACGAGGAUGAGAACCUCCGGGGGCAAGAGGUUCGACUCGAGCGCAGCGAGAGAACGUUGCGUCAGCAACGGCCCGCAGGGCGAGCCAAGCAGUGGCGAGUCAUCCUCUAUCACCGACCA